AGGGACGUGGGCCCAAUGUGGCCUGAUCCUCUGAUUUUCUUAAGAUUAGAAAUGGGGAGGAGAUGGGUCUCAGAAAGUCAUUUGUGGCCAGGCACAGUGGCUCACACCUGUGAUCCCAAUACUUUGGGAAGCUGAGGCAACAAACAAACAAACAAACAAACAAACAAAAACAAAAACAGGUGCCAGACUGGGUUUGGUUUUCUGUGGGCCUUGGUUUGCUGACCAGUGUUAUAGAAAAGACAACAUAUAAGGAUAUAUAAGGUGGCCGGGCAUGGUGGCUCACACCUAUAAUCCCAGCACUUUGGGAGUCCAAGGUGGUGGAUCGCUUGAACUCAGGAGUUCGAGACCAGCUUGGGCAACAUGGUGAAACCCUCUCUCUACCAAAAAUACAAAAAAUUAGCCAGGCAUGGUGGUGUAUGCCUAUGUUAC
rnacentral:lncRNA from 1 species